rnacentral:rRNA from 1 species
GACGAACGCUGGCGGCGUGCUUAACACAUGCAAGUCGAACGGUAAGGCCCUUCGGGGUACACGAGUGGCGAACGGGUGAGUAACACGUGGGUGAUCUGCCCUGCACUUCGGGAUAAGCCUGGGAAACUGGGUCUAAUACCGGAUAGGACUCCUGGCUUCAUGGUUGGGGGGGGAAAGCUUUUGCGGUGUGGGAUGGGCCCGCGGCCGAGCAGCUUGUUGGUGGGGUAAUGGCCUACCAAGGCGACGACGGGUAGCCGGCCUGAGAGGGUGACCGGUCACACUGGGACUGAGAUACGGCCCAGACUCCUACGGGAGGCAGCAGUGGGGAAUAUUGCACAAUGGGCGCAAGCCUGAUGCAGCGACGCCGCGUGAGGGAUGACGGCCUUCGGGUUGUAAACCUCUUUCAGUAGGGACGAAGCGCAAGUGACGGUACCUACAGAAGAAGGACCGGCCAACUACGUGCCAGCCGCCGCUGUAA